rnacentral:tRNA from 1 species
ACCAGGAUGGCCGAGAGGUUAAGGCGUUGGACUUAAGUUCCAAUGGACAAAUGUCCUCGUGGGUUCGAACCCUACUCCUGGUA